rnacentral:rRNA from 1 species
CCCGAGAUGAGUUCUCCCUGAGACUUUAGGUCUCCUGAAGGAACGUUGAAGACGACGACGUUGAUAGGCCGGGUGUGUAAGCGCAGCGAUGCGUUGAGCUAACCGGUACUAAUGAACCGUGAGGCUUAACCUU